UGGGGAAUCUUCCGCAAUGGGCGAAAGCCUGACGGAGCAACGCCGCGUGAAUGAAGAAGGCCUUCGGGUCGUAAAGUUCUGUCUUUAGGGAAGAAGUCUCUUUAUGUGAAUAAUGUAGAGAGGUGACGGUACCUGAGGAGGAAGCUCCGGCUAACUACGUGCCAGAAGCCGCGGGAAUACGUAGGGAGCAAGCGUGGUCCGGAAUUACUGGGCGGAAAGGGCGCGUAGGCGGGAUAUUAAGUUAGGUGUGAAAACUCCGGGCUCAACUUGGAGACUGCACUUAAAACUGGGAUUCUGGAGGACAGGAGAGGAAAGUGGAAUUCCUAGUGUAGCGGUGAAAUGCGUAGAUAUUAGGAGGAACACCAGUGGCGAAGGCGACUUUCUGGACUGUAACUGACGCUGAGGCGCGAAAGCGUGGGGAGUGAACG
rnacentral:rRNA from 1 species